UUAAUUCAAAUUUGUAUAGAGUUGGAACAUUUUCCCUUCGCUUGCCGCUAGUAGCGCUGUACCAAUUUCAUACAAAUUUGAUUUA
rfam:Bombyx mori DNA, contig: Bm_scaf365_contig42815, strain: p50T/Dazao, build 2, whole genome shotgun sequence.